AUAAUCCUGGCUGGUUAUGGUUUAAAUAUAUUUUAUAUUGUCCGCACAUGUACGGAUCGCGCCUUCUUGGAAGUUACGCCCCCGCGCCACACAGGGUGGUAUUUACGCCACUGUUUUUUAUUUCAUAGAGAAAACUGGAAGUCUUCAAUAGAAGUAAACACGGAUUCAUAAACUACACAUGCAGGAGUGUUAGUUUAAACAAUCUUUAAAUUUUAAAUUUCCAAUGUACAACCAAAGUUUGGUGAGCGUUUUAUCAUCUCCAUGACAUUGAUAAUACACCAUAUAAAAUUA